GCAAAUAAAUACAUGAAAAUAAGGUAAGAGGUGGAAACACUUGUACUUCAAGAAAAUGUUAAGAGGAAGACAUUUUAACUACAUCCAUAUUUGAGCCAUUAAGCCAAACUCUUCGGAACAUUCCAAGAUGAAAGUAACCUAUGAAUCCUGCCAUUAAUUUUAGGUUGUUUUCACUUCCAUCUGUGUGAAAUGUUUGUUUUGUGUGAAGUAGUUAUCUACUUAUAUUAGUUGUUUUGCAUGGAAUACUGCUCAACUUGUUCUGGUUGUUUUGCGUGAAGUGAUGUUUCACUUAUUGUAGUUCUUCUGCGUGAAGUAAUGUGUCACUUAUUGUAGUUCUUCUGCGAGAAGUAAUGCUUCACUUAUUCUAGUUGUUUUCGUUAUUUUAUAUAUGACACUACAUUGUAAAACAACUCUUAAGAGAAUAAAUUAUAAUCAAAAUCAACUAUCUACAGUAAUCAUAAAACAAAAGAAGAGAGAUGUGCUUAAAAAGUCACUUCCAACCAACAUGACCAUGUCUUGUUAAACUCAUGCAUAGGGGAAAAAUAUUCUGAGAUGGAGAAUUGAUUUGUUAGCAAAACUUCCUUUGAGAUAUAUCUGUACUCAGUAGGGACAAUCUGCAAUACAAUAAAAAGAACACUUGGAUGAGAGAUUUCAAGAUUAAAACAACUACUUUUUAAAGGAAUAAAAGAAAAGAAAGAUAAAGGGGCAAACUAAUGUUCCAUCUUUACCAUAGAAGUAGUAUAAGUGAAUGUGUUAAAAUGCAACAUGAAAUAACCUGUUACUAUUUAACGAAACUCCAAUAAAAGUUUCCACUUGUGUUGGAAACUCUCAGAUUCAAACAAAUUUCUAAUUUACACAUUUUUCCAAUACCCAAACGUUCCAUGCAUCAAAACCCAUAAUCAAAUCUACUAAAUAUAGUUAAAAUACCCAAAAAAAUAAAAACUUCAAAAAAAAGUUCAGGUUUUGAUUUGCAUAAUCAAAUCUAUUAUAUAUAGAUAAAAUAUCCAUUAAACAAAAACUUUAAAGAAAAGUUUAGGUUUUGAUUUUCAUAAUCACAUCUACUAAAGAUAGCUAAAAUGCUUAAAAAAAUAAAAACUUCAAAGAAAGUUUGGCUUUUCAUCUAUUUUGUAAAUUUCUAACAGGAUUCUUCACCGACUGUCUCCUGAACUAUUCUUCAUCUCUUUUUGAAUCCAUUACAACUUUCAAAAAGUAGACUUUCAUCUCUUUUUUUUCUUUUCCGUUUUUUUCCCUUCUCUAAACAAAACAAGCUCACAAAAAAAAGGUUAAUUAACAGUUAUAGUAUAUGCAUGCAAAUAGAGCGACCAGAAGACAUGGAAGAGUAGACGACUUGUUGAGAAGGCUGGACGAUUUGAUUAAGAAAGAAAUUUUUGAAUGUCCCAUACAGGGAAAAAGAUAAGAAAAAAAGAACCUAUACAAGAAGAAAAAGAAAUGAGUCUGAGCAUAAGAAAGAAAAACACAACACCUAAAGCAAAGAAAAUUACAGUGUUAAAGACUUGAGCAUGCUGUCUCAUAAAGGAAAAAAGAUAAAAAGAAAAGACUUUAUACAAG
rnacentral:lncRNA from 1 species